CCCGCAUCCUACCUGCCUUGCUCUCCUGCCAUUACGGAGCUCCUGUAUCCAAGACUGCACGGUGAUCCUUGUCAUCACUAGGGGGCGGAGCUACACGGACCGGCGGUGACAGAAACGAGGGAGAGGAUGAUGAUCUACUGACAAAGUGAGCAACCAAUGAUGUCCGGGUGGACUCUGCAGAGAAGAUGUAGCUGGAAGACGUCCUGACGUCUGGACCAAUUGAAGAAGAAAAGGAAAGACAACAGAGAAGACGUCACUCAGGUCACUUUGUAUAUUCUUCUGACUGUCCCAUCAGCUGGAGUCCCUUGUAAGGUCUGCAGUGAUGAUGGCUGUACCCAUGCUUGGCUCUCCAGCUGUUUCAAAAGUACAACUCCCAUAAUUCCUGAGGCUCUACAGACAUGAUGGGAGUUAUAGCUUUACAACAGCUGGAGAGCAACUGGAACCAAGGUGAUUGGUGGGGGUCCCAGCAUUCGGACCUCCACCCAAAAAAUAUGCUGCUUAUUUUAAAAUGCCCGGGCGUAAUUUUGAUACCAGUCCAGCCCUGUCUGUUAGUCACUUAUAUAGUUGUGUAUUCUCUUGACUGUGUCCCAUCAGUGCUGUAGUCACUGAUAUCUAUGUGUGGCCAAGGCCUGGUAAGGGGGUCGUCCGGGAUUGGGGAAGCGGGUCGUCAGGUGGUUGAGGGGCCCAGGGCAAUUUUUCGCACCGGGCCCCUGCGGUUUCUGGCUACGCCCCUGCCUAUGGGCAUACCUAACCUCCCUUAAUCUCCACCCCGACCUGUGGGAGGGCCUCUGCCUAUAACUCCUAUUAACCCCCCCGUGUCCCUGCAGUCAGGGGGACCUACUCCUAUACGGCCAGGUACCCUACAAAAAGCUGUCCGGGCAUGCUGGGAGUUGUAGUUUUGAUACAGCUGAAGACACCCUGGUUGGGAAACAAUGCACUUUGCUUGUAAUA